GUGGGACUGUAAUUAAAUACAGACAAUGGGGUGACGAAUACUGUACUGAUGAAGACAGCUUCUUUUGCCAAACUGACAAACAGGACACACUUCAGGACAAGUUUAAGUACAUUGACUUGAGAAAGACCUGGCGUGAUGCUCAAAUGUACUGCAGAACAAACUACGUAGACCUGGCCACCAUUACAGAUGAAGCAGAGAACACGUUCCUCGCAAAUGAGCUUUCUGUAAAGGGCCAAAGAAAUGCCUGGUUCGGCCUGUACAAGAACCCGCCUCAAUGGCUGUGGUCAGAUAACACCAGUGCAUCGUGGUCCGCUGUGAAAUGGGAGUCUGGGCAGCCUGAUACCGUGAAUGGAAAGAAGAGUGUGCGAGAGCCGAUACUGACGGACUGAUGGCUGCAGACACCUGCUCGACUCCACUGCCUUUCUACUGCCACGAAAACAGGAAAAUACAGCGUGUGAGAUUCACAGUCAAAUCAGACGGACAUCUGGAUGAAUCCACAGUGAUGGAGGCCAUAGAGAAGAAGAUGAAGCAGAUCCUCUCGGAUCAGGACAUGAAAAUCAGAUCCAGCAUAACAUGGAGCGUCCAACCUGACGAGAAGAUCUUCCAGCGCCAGAAAACACAAUAAAACACACAAGAGACGGCAUGUGAGGUGUUGCAUGCAAUGAAACGCUAGACUCUGACACACGCGAUAACUUGUCCAAACAUUUAUGAAUCUUUAAGGUACAGACAUUUAUAAU